rnacentral:misc_RNA from 1 species
GAUGAAGAACGCAGCGAAAUGCGAUAAGUAAUGUGAAUUGCAGAAUUCAGUGAAUCAUCGAAUCUUUGAACGCACAUUGCGCCCGCCAGCAUUCUGGCGGGCAUGCCUGUUCGAGCGUCAUUUCAACCCUCAAGCUCUGCUUGGUGUUGGGGCCCUACGGUUGACGUAGGCCCUUAAAGGUAGUGGCGGACCCUCUCGGAGCCUCCUUUGCGUAGUAACUAACGUCUCGCAUUGGGAUUCGGAGGGACUCUUGCCGUAAAACCCCCAAAUUUUCUAAUGGUUGACCUCGGAUCAGGUAGGAAUACCCGCUGAACUUAAGCAUACAAUAAGCGGAGGA